rnacentral:piRNA from 1 species
UCUGGGUAUGUUAACCUGUGCCUUUGAUUU